UACGAAGGGGGCUAGCGUUGCUCGGAAUCACUGGGCGUAAAGCGCACGUAGGCGGAUUGCUAAGUCAGGGGUGAAAUCCUGGAGCUCAACUCCAGAACUGCCUUUGAUACUGGCAACCUAGAGACUGGAAGAGGUUAGUGGAAUUCCCAGUGUAGAGGUGAAAUUCGUAGAUAUUCGCAAGAACACCAGUGGCGAAGGCGGCUUACUGGUCCGGUUCUGGACGCUGAGGCGGCGAAAAGCGUGGGGAGCAAACAGG
rnacentral:rRNA from 1 species